CCUACGGGUGGCAGCAGUGAGGAAUAUUGGUCAAUGGACGCAAGUCUGAACCAGCCAUGCCGCGUGCAGGAAGACGGCCCUAUGAGUUGUAAACUGCUUUUGUACGAGGGUAAACGCAGAUACGCGUAUCUGUCUGAAAGUAUCGUACGAAUAAGGAUCGGCUAACUCCGUGCCAGCAGCCGCGGUAAUACGGAGGAUUCAAGCGUUAUCCGGAUUUAUUGGGUUUAAAGGGUGCGUAGGCGGUCGGAUAAGUCAGAGGUGAAAGCCCGCGGCUCAACUGCGGAAUUGCCUCUGAUACUGUUAGGCUAGAGAGUAGUUGCGGUAGGCGGAAUGUAUGGUGUAGCGGUGAAAUGCUUAGAGAUCAUACAGAACACCGAUUGCGAAGGCAGCUUACUAAGCUACCUCUGACAUUGAGGCACGAAAGCGUGGGGAGCAAACAGGAUUAGAUACCCGAGUAGUC
rnacentral:rRNA from 1 species